UUCAUCUGAGGUGAAAAUGUAGGAGCUUGGUACCGGAAAGGAGGAACCGGAGGGAUCAUCAUCUCUAUGGAGAAUGGCCUUGAUCUCUUUGCACCAACCUUAUCUUCCUCUGGCCACGCAUUAGUAUAGUGAUGACAUGUUUGGUUUGAAGGGGGCUCUCUACCAUGACAAGGUCCAGCAGAAGAUGAGGUUGCUAAAGAUGUCACAACAGGGUGUGGAAAAAGAUUUUUCAUUGAAG
rnacentral:misc_RNA from 1 species